rnacentral:tRNA from 1 species
CCAAUUCUUAACUUCCCAGUCAUGUGCGGUAUCCUUUUCCCGGAGGCUCUUAGCUCAUAAGUGAGCGGAUGCC